CAGCCGCCGCGGGAAUACGGAGGGUGCGAGCGUUAAUCGGAAUAACUGGGCGUAAAGGGCACGCAGGCGGUGACUUAAGUGAGGUGUGAAAGCCCCGGGCUUAACCUGGGAAUUGCAUUUCAUACUGGGUCGCUAGAGUACUUUAGGGAGGGGUAGAAUUCCACGUGUAGCGGUGAAAUGCGUAGAGAUGUGGAGGAAUACCGAAGGCGAAGGCAGCCCCUUGGGAAUGUACUGACGCUCAUGUGCGAAAGCGUGGGGAGCAAACAGGAUUAGAGACCCCCGUAGUCCCUGUCUCUUAUAC
rnacentral:rRNA from 1 species